GGUGAGGCCCUGCCCCGAGCUGCCAACCCCGCACCGGGCACCUGGGCAGCUACGACCGGCCUCAGCGGUGCCGUAAGGCCUGCUGCUAUUUUAUUUUUCCCCUAAGCGCUUGGUAGAUCGUUUCUAAGUUGGAAACGUCUCUUUUAAAAUUCUAGGUAAGAGGUGCUGGAAGCGGAGUCAGCGAAGGCGCAGGAACUCCGACCCUCCCGCCCGUAACGUAAAUGCGAUACGCGCUCUGAGGGGUUGUUGUUGCAGUCGUCACGUACAUAAACAGGCAGAAGUUAAUCUAAAAUAUCCCCAGGAAUCACUGUGUCUACACGCUGCGUCGUGCCAGCUGAUUGUGGUGACUAAGAUAAGCCUUUUUGUCUGCUGGCUGCCCACAUAACCAGCUCGGUGAAGAGGGAGGUUUGCCAGCUGGAUUCUGCCCGCAGCCCUGCGCUGCGUGGUUCGUGGCGGUAGCUGCCGUGGCGAGGCGCAGGGUUGCUACUGGCGUUCGGGAGCGAAGGUGCAAGCUGGUGAUUUCAGGCCAAAGUAUAACUUUAGGUGGGAGGGGGUGGCAUAGUGUGGUUUCAGGCAGUAGUUUUAUUUUCAUAAUUAAAAUAGGUAUCAUUUGGCAAGGCAUGCUAUAUCCUGAUAAAUGGGCCUAGAAGGAUGUAGUUUGAUAUGAGAACUCUCAUUUUCUGUUAUGUUACAUAACUACUUGAUCUCUGAAUCAGGAACAAUCUCUCAGCAUCCCUUCUCCUGUUCAAACUGCACUCAGCUAGUAUUUAUCUGCUUGCUGUAGCCGGCUAACAGGUCCCAGCAUCAGCUCACCACUGCUUAUGGUGAUCUCGAAACAUAGAAGAAAAGUACAGCUCUCAACUGAGUUCAGCUGCCCUGCACCGACGUAUCUGCGGCUGAGAACGGCGGUGCAGAUUCAAAAAGGAAGCGUUCCAGCUCUUGACGAAGUGAAAUUAUUUACUUAUUCUUACAUCUUCUUUAACAAGUGGCUAUGAGCACAUUUGUUUUUGGAGUUCACUGUCAGAGGAUAAUUGCAGCUAAGUUCUAAUGUUUGCUUUGGACAGAGAAAUCUGUGGGCUCCACUUGCUUUUUGGGAUGCAUUCUGGGCUCCUCCCAUCCUCCCAUGAAAUGAGCAUAACUAAACAGUGAGAAACUGCCCCGCUGGGGCUUCUGAUUUGUUUUGCUGUAGUUGGCUACAGUCUUGAAAGCCUUUUUCUAGGGGAGUCAUGAUAUAUUAUAUCAGAUAUUAUCACUGCACUCCAUCUUGUGGAAGAGGCGAUGAUACAGACUUUGAAAUGAUCCUAUAGAGCUGUUUUGAGUAAUUAAACCCAACAAUACUUGGUUCUUACAGCCAAAGCAAGGAACUACAAAGAGCAGUGGAUGCAAAAAGGAUCUAGGAGAAAUGAUUUGCCGUCAACAUGUAAUUAAGUUCCUAGAUAUUCUUAAAACAUCUCUUCAGAGCUGAUUAUUUCUUUGACAUCUUUUUAUAUCUUUAUUGUUCAAGAUGAUACUAUUGCUAGCUGCUGAGGACAUGGACAUUCUCACAGCACUCUGCAUAUUGUAGAAUCAGCUGGCACAUGCACUUUGUGUGCGCUGUUUAAUUAAAAAAAAAGAAGACUAACAACUUUUCAAACCAUGUGGAUAGUGGAAUUUCAUCCCUGACAAAGAACCUAAAUCUUGGGCACUGGGCACUUUAAUCCUCAGUCGACCUAGCUGUACCCAAUGGAUUCGUGUACAUGUCGCUUGGAUUUAGGUAGGCACUUCACAUCUCCUUCUUCUUUGUUUUGGGAAGGAGUUUUAGGAAACUGUUCAAAAAGUGCAGUCUGAAUAGAGGAACUAAGAAGCAGAAAGGAACUUGUUUCUCAGGUGAGCUUGCCAAGGAGCGCCAGAGGUUGGGAGAGUCAGUGGGCUGAAAAGGCCUACCAAAAACAACAGCCACCUGCAGCAGUGACAGUGGUCUGGGGGUGUAUGAGGCAGAGGGACAGGCUCCACUAAGUGGGAUUGAUCUGUAGGCCACUGCCUGUUUUUUACCCUCAUAAUAAGUAAAUAAUAAUCUGAUUGUAUAUCAUAUCCAGGAGAUGAUAUUGAGGGUUGCCAUCUGUUUUACGAAAAACGAACAAACAAAAAAGAAGUGUUCUUCGCUCUUCCCAUACUGCCUUUUGACCUUUUCUCCCUUGAUGUUCAGCACUGCUUUGGGAAAUCGGACUUGGUAUUGAGGCAACAACUGUGAACUAUAGCAGGGGGUUUAUUUGUACGUAUUUGUACCUGGCUGGGUGCACAAAAAAAUGAGGAACUUAUCUGGAUUCCCAAUUAUAGAACGGUUAACCUUGUAAUAGUUGCCCUAGGACAAGCUUGAAGCCAUUGAAAUGGCUUGAAAGCCAUGUAACUUUAAUGGAUAGCUGAAAAUACAAAGAGGGAUAGUUACUCCAAACGUUCCUUGAGUGGAAUAAAAAAGAUUUUCUUGAGAGAGGACUGCA
ensembl:lncRNA